rfam:Candidatus Colwellbacteria bacterium RIFCSPLOWO2_01_FTLL_48_10 rifcsplowo2_01_scaffold_35124, whole genome shotgun sequence.
UCGAUGGUACGCGAGAAACCUUACCAGGGCUUGAAAUGUCAGUGGAAACUCGCCGGAAACGGUGGGUGUCUCUCAAGGACCGCUGACACAGGUGCUGCAUGGUUGCCGUCAGCUCGUGGUUUGAACUGUUCCCUUAAGUGGGGUAACGAGCGCAACCCUUGUCACGUGUUACAAGUGUCACGUGAGACUGCCGUGUUUUACACGGAGGAAGGAGAGGACGACGUCAAAUCAGCAUGGCCCUCUGAUGCCCUGGGCUACACUCAUGCUACAAUGGAUGAAACAACGGGCCGUGAAGCCGCAAGGCGGAACUAAUCCCAAAAUUCAUCCUCAGUUCGGAUUGGGGGCUGCAACUUGCCCCCAUGAAGUUGGAUUCGCUAGUAAUCGCGCAACAGCUCGGCGCGGCGAAUACGUUCUCGAGUCUUGUACUCACCGCCUGUCACGUCAAGGGAGCCGGUAAUGCCUGAAGCCUCGCUCUAAGAUCGCAGAUCUUUGAGAAUGACUAAUUUCGAAUUAUGAAUUUCGAUUGAAUUUCUAAUGC